AGGCAUUCAAGGCCAGGCUGGAUGUGGUUCUGGGCAGCCUGGGCUGCUGGUUGGCGACCCUGCACAUAGCAGGGGGUUGGAACUGGAUGAGCGUUGUGGUCCUUUUCAACCCAGGCCAUUCUAUGAUGCUAUGAUUUCAUCCUGCUUUCCUUACUGCUCACACGUGGUGCACACAGCUCCACGUGUGGGACAGCAGUGCUCUGUAUUUGGCUGCACAGGGUCCGGGAGGAGCUGUGUGCUGCAACGCCACAUCUGUUGGAAUGCAGUUCUGGAAACGUCAGCUGCAUGCAGGCGCUGCUCCUGCUCGUCCUGGCAGGCCGCACGCAGCCCGGGCAGCGCAGCGAGGUGGGCUUCCUGCGCUGGGGCGGAGAGGAGGCCGAGCACCGCCUGUCCCCGAUACCCACUCGCAUCACUGGGAAGAGGGCCACUGUGAGGCCACAAGCAGCCCGGGGAGGAGGGCUCCGUCACUGGAGAUGGCCAUCAGGACCAAGUGGCCCGGGGCGGCCGUCGGGUGGAACGGCACACAGCCCUUCUUCUGAGCUGCCCCCCACCACAGCACCACCACCAGCACCACCACCAGCACCAGGAGCAGGGCCAUUGCUGGCACCGCCACAGCCCUCAGCCGGAGCUGGCAGGGGAAAGGAAACAGCAUGGCAACGUGGUCAUUUCCUCCCAGGCAGAGAUGUUC
rnacentral:lncRNA from 7 species